AAGCAAUCAAGGUAUUUUUUUUACUUUCUCACCCAAACUCCAAUCUCCUUGUUCCAUUCGGCAUCAGUGCACAGAUGCCUAGUUUUGCCAGCAUCGAUCGGAAGGACCAGGUUUAUAGGAACACUGCAACCGCCCCCUGGGACCUCCAUGGACACCUGCAAGGGCAAAGGAUUCCCACACCAAGAAGCUGGCAGCCACUAGCCACACCCCCUCCCCUUUUGGUAUAAGAGAAGCCUGAAUUCUAACCUGGGGAAGGAGAAGUGGCCAAACCAAGGAGAAAACUGGAACAGUGAGUGGCCAAAGCCUGGUGCCAUCUUCAUCCACAACAAGGUCUUGCCCCCCUGGCAAGCUGUUCCCACUCACUUACCUCGCACCCCCGGCCGCUCAGCUCUGGGCCGACCACUGCAACUCCAUGUUCAAGGUGUCGGAAAUGAAGACAACGCCGGCUCGGGUCGCCAGUGUCAGAAAGUGAGACACGUGGACAAGGAGACAUCUCGACAAGGCUCUUUACUUCUGCAGAAGGGCGCGGGCCCUCCAAAAAGUGCAGGUGCCCAACAAGGGACCCUCCCCUAUUGACCCCUAACGCAGGUGAUGGACCCGUCCCCUUCCCAUGGGUCAGGUCAGGGCGCACACUCUUCCCGGUUGGCUCACUGAAACCACUUGUUGCUGGGAAAAGGGGUCAAGGGGAAGGGGGUCGCAGAGGCGUUUCCACCAACACCAGAGUGACAUGGAGUCACCAAGGUUUCCUUUGGUAGAAAAGACAUGAGGUUAUUUCCACAACAGCCCCUUCUAACACCGCUGCAAAGCAAAGCCACCGGGAAAAAAUGUAAUUGUAAGGUAUACAUGUAAGGAUAAGCUGACCCCCUUGCUGUACAGUGGGAAAAUAAAAUUAAAAAAAUUAUAAAAAAAAAGAAAAGAAAAGAAAAGCCACCCACCCUGAGGCCGAAAUCACACAGCCCUCCUUCAAACUCACUGGGAGAAGGGGGUUAUUUGAAGACAAAAAGGGGUGUUUUUAUACGCACCCUCCAGGUUCAGAACAGAUUUCGAAUAAAGAGAAGCAAUGACUUUGUUAGAAGGCUGUUUGAUUUUUAAGUGUAUACUUUGGCGAGCGGGAGCGGGGGGUAAAGUCCGUGGGGGAGCUUUUAAGGGGAGCUGAGACGCAAUUUGCCACUUCCCAUCCUCCGUCGAGGUGACCCCAAAGGAAAACUUAGGGUGUCAGCUUCUUGUCACCCUCCUCCCACAAGAAAUGGAUGCCAGGCCAGGCUGUGGGUAACGAGGGUGGGGAGGCCUCUGCCGAUGGCCCGAGAGGGGACCCUCCGUUCUGUCCAUAUUUCCUUCUCACAAAUACACAUGGACUCUCACUCUUGGCCAUGUAACUUGCUUGUAUGAAUUAAUUGUUUCAGCAGUAUAUUGAACAAAUUCCUGAACUCAAA
rnacentral:lncRNA from 1 species